CCCCUGCUUCCUCCAGUGUUUGUUUCCCCCAUCUCUUCUUCCCGUCUUUGCUUAAUAGAAGGUUUUUGCCCUUUCCAUGUCCGAUUCCUGAGCUGAUCUCUGAAUAAACCCGCGGUGUCUUGAAGAUUUUCCUGGAGAAUGUUAAGAGUCUGAUGCCCACUUGGACUGCGUUUUCGCUCUAAUGAAAGAGCCUGAGCUGAGUUGAUCCAAGGUUCUUUUGGUAUUGACAUUUUUGCUUCUGAAGAUGAAGAAGAUAAAGAAAGACUGAGUAUUGACUUUGCACCUUUAGUUGCUAAACUUACUAACAUUCAUGUUUAGGAAUCUUCUCUGUUUUGUGUUGAGCCAGGAGCAAACUUUUAGGUUGCUAUCUUUGUACUGUCAAGUGGAUAUUUGUACUGUCACUGGCACUCCUUCAAGUUGCUUACAACAGGCGUUUGAAAUGGUCGGU